rnacentral:lncRNA from 1 species
UCCUAAAGUGCUGGGAUUACAGGCGUGAGUCACCGCGCCCGGCCAGUCGAACUCUUUCUUCUGAGGAGGCAAGGAUUGAGAUUGCUGCAGAACAUAGGCAUUGGCCGUCAGUAAUAUACCGUGUGACUCAGAACCUCCCCCGCUUCUCCCUGCAUCAAGAGCUGGGGAGACGGCAGCGUGGGACUCGUGGGUAAUCCCCUGCAGCGGCCUGCCACUCCUCCCCCACUGCCUGGUCUGGGUGGGGCACAAGACUCAGGCCUAAGCCAAUCAGAGCCUUCCCUGGCUGCAGCAAUGGGUCUAAGGGCCCUCCCUCUGUGACCCUGGCCUUGGCCACCAGGCUUGCUUUGGCCAAUGAGAUGUGAGCAUACAGGACGCCAGUCAAAGCAUGAAAACUGCUUGCAAUAGCGCUUGUGUGUGCACCUGGACCUAUGUUGUAAGAAUGUGCCCCGUUUGGCCAUUGGAAGGACUUGGGACACCUGGGGGAGAACAGAGUCACCCCAGCUGCCAGCCAGCUCAGCCAGGACAUGCUGUACAAGCAUGGCACCAGCACCUGUUCAGCUUCUGGAGAAGCCUCAGGAGGCUUCCAAUUAUGGCAGAAGGCAAAAAGGAAGGAGGUGCAUCACGUGGCAAAAACAGGAGCAAGAGAGAGUGGGACAGAGGUGCCACAUGCUUUUAAACCAGAUCUG